AGGAUAAACGCUGGCGGCGUGCCUAACACAUGCAAGUCGAACGUCCUACGCAAGUAGGGAGUGGCGGACGGGUGAGUAACACGUGGGCAAUCUACCUUUCGGUGAGGAAUACCGGCGAGAAAUCGCCGACAAUACCGCAUACGCUUCGCAAGAAGCAAAGUCGCAAGACGCCGGAGGAGGAGCCUGCGCCCGAUUAGCUCGUUGGUGGAGUAAUGGUCUACCAAGGCGACGAUCGGUA
rnacentral:rRNA from 1 species